GACGAACGCUGGCGGCGUGCCUAAUACAUGCAAGUCGAACGCACAGUUUAUACCGUAGCUUGCUACACCAUAGACUGUGAGUUGCGAACGGGUGAGUAACGCGUAGGUAACCUGCCUGGUAGCGGGGGAUAACUAUUGGAAACGAUAGCUAAUACCGCAUAAUAUUAAUUAUUGCAUGAUAAUUAAUUGAAAGGUGCAAUCGCACCACUACCAGAUGGACCUGCGUUGUAUUAGCUAGUAGGUGAGGUAACGGCUCACCUAGGCGACGAUACAUAGCCGACCUGAGAGGGUGAUCGGCCACACUGGGACUGAGACACGGCCCAGACUCCUACGGGAGGCAGCAGUAGGGAAUCUUCGGCAAUGGACGAAAGUCUGACCGAGCAACGCCGCGUGAGUGAAGAAGGUUGUCGGAUCGUAAAGCUCUGUUGUAAGAGAAGAACGGGUGUGAGAGUGGAAAGUUCACACUGUGACGGUAGCUUACCAGAAAGGGACGGCUAACUACGUG
rnacentral:rRNA from 1 species